GAUUAGUGGGUUUGAAAAGCGAACCGUGGCUCGGCCUCAUUUCCCGCUCUGGUUCAGGCGCAGGAGGAAGUGUUUUGCUGGAGGAUGAUGACAGAGGAAUCUGAGAAUUGCUCUCACACACCAACCCUGCAACAUCCGUGGAGAAAACUCUCAGCAGCAACUCCUUUAAAAUACCGUCAUUUCAAACCAUUGUGGUCUUUAAGCAACAACAGCAGCACAAAAAACCCCAACCAAACAAAACUCUUGACAGAAGCUGUGACAACCAGAGAGGAUGCCUCAUAAAGGGGGAAGACUUUAACUAGGGGCGCGCAGAUGUGUGAGGCCUUUUAUUGUGAGAGUGGACAGACAUCCGAGAUUUCAGAGCCCCAUAUUCGAGCCCCGUGGAAUCCCGCGGCCCCCAGCCAGAGCCAGCAUGCAGAACAGUAAGUGCCUCUGGUCUUCUUGGGACUUCGGGCUCGGGGUGCGCGGACCCGAGGGUCAGGGGAGGACACAGGGGCUCGCGACGCCCGCGCUGGCCCGGCCGCCGACCGACUGAGGCCCGGGGACCUGCGGCGGCUGCUCCCCCCUCCGCGCCCGGCAGCCCGGGAGGGGAGGGCGUUUGCUUGGCUCUUCUCGAUACUGGAGAAGCAGGGUCUGGGCCCUUAAGAACAGCCCGCCCGAGUUUUCGAAGCUGCGGUAGAGAAACCCCAUCCCCCCCAAAUCCUGUAACUCACACCCCCUCCCCGCCCCUGCCCGGGCUCUGACCCCGGAGAGAGGGGCUGGGCUGAGCAGGGCGGGGCGAAGGCUUCUCCUAGUUGCGCGAGAAGGAGGCCCCUUUGGGCUUAGCCAAGACUGAAAGUCUCCACCAACCCGGCGGGGUUGGGGGCUUCUCUCCCCAAGUCACUCUCAAGGCAGCUCCUCCCCUCCUCAUCCCAUCUACGGGCCUAGAAGGGAUGAGGAGAGGAGCCCCCAAGCCUGCAGCAGGGUAGGGUUUGUAAACUCGCUGUUACAGGGCGCAGGAGAGAGCACGGUUUACUGGGUCUGGUAAGGAGGUGCCCAGGAAUUGGAAAAUCCCUGCCCUGGCAACUGCAAUUGCUUGGGUCCUGAUAGUCCCGGGCCCAGAGCGCUUUUGAUACUUAUGGCUCUUGUACCUCCCUGCUUUCCUCUGCUCAGACCUCGUGGGGUCCCACCCACCUUCCUGUUCAGUUGGUGGGUGCUGGUACGUGGCAGGGCUAGUCUAGAGCUCCGACCUGGGAGCCUGGAGGCCCAGCGAAACCAGGCCCGGUUUGAGGUUACGGUUGAGGCACACGGCGUCAGGGCUCAACUGAACUCGAAGUGUGGAAAGGCCCAGGUCUUCUAGCAGCCUGCCCUGGCCGAACCACAAAGGCUUAAGAGGGUCCCCAGCACCUUAUCCAUCUGUUCUGGAAACGCCGGUCGCCCCCUGGUGCUUCCGGGGUUGGUAAGCGCGUAGCUGAGGAAGGGGCACAAAGGUGGCGAGCUUUGCGGGAGUAGUUGUGCAGAACCUGCCGGACCCCAGGGCUUGGCCGGUAGGCUCGCCUUCGGCGGCUGGGCUCUCCCCUUGGAGCUCAGACUUCCCAGCCGCAGGCUGUCUCUCGGGCGGGCCCCAGCCAGGGCGCGCAGCCCUGAGCGUUUGUCGCUGCGGCCCGGCUGGCAGGCCCCGAGGGGCGCGGGGUCGCGGGCCGGCCCGCAGGGCUUUGUGCCGCUCGUUCCCGGGUGUGCGCGAGGCGCGGAGCAUCCAAAUUGACACCAUAUGUUUUCCUAUUAGUUGCUUCGCGGUCGAGUUCUAGGCGCAUAAUCAUCGCCAGUGGGCGAAAGCGCCAGCAGUCCCUAGGGAAGGGACACAAUGAUUGAGGCUUAACCUCUGAAGGGGAAUUUGGAGCUGCGCUUUCUCUCUGCCAUUUCGAUGCUGGGAGUGGCGCUCUGGCCCUGGCGUCUCCUGGGCGAGCACCAGCCGGCGGUAGCUGCAGAGGUGGCGGGCACGUUGUUAUUUUUUGAAAUGGGUGAGGAGGGAGGUCUAGAUUUAGGCGGCCUCACGCGCCCGCCUUGGCAUUAGCAGACUGGGAAUUGCCGUGGCUAUGCCCGAAGUUUGGAAAGUCUCUCUCGGUCUCUUUCUGGGACAGCCUUUCUUUUUCCGGGAAGCUCCCUGUGCCUAGAGGUGGGGCUCUGUAGCUGGAGGGGUAGAUGGAACUUGCGAAGCAAAGGAAGGCAAUAAAAGGAAGUUAGGAGAAACCGGAAACGUGGGCCAGGCCUUGCUCUGUUGGAGAAGCGGUGUCCCCGCAAUGUCCCUGCUUGCGCUGGUCCCGGCUGGAGCCCAGAUCCCCCAAACGCCUGUCACUUCUCAUCGAGUUGAGGCUCCGGCCCCCACCCGCGCCUCGGUGAGGGCCCCCCCUCAGCCCCAAGCCUUCGGCUACCCUGAAAACGCGGCUCCCCUCGAAGGGGAAACGAGUGCAGUUCAAUCUCGUCUGAGUGAUCUACAAAUAGGGACGGAAAGGGUCGUUUUAUCACGGUCCCGUUUGUCGUGACGAUGCAAUUUCCCGGAGCGGAGCACUGUCACAAAGUGACAAGGCUGCCACAAGCGCCCCGACUGAUCUUUUCAAUUAGCCUUCCAUGCAUGAUCCGGAGCGACUUCCGCCUAUUUCCAGAAAUUAAGCUCAAACUUGACGUGCAGCUAGUUUUAUUUUAAAGACAAAUGUCAGAGAGGCUCAUCAUAUUUUCCCCCCUCUUCUAUAUUUGGAGCUUAUUUAUUGCUAAGAAGCUCAGGCUCCUGGAGUCAAUUUAUCAGUAGGUUCCAAGGAGAGGAGAGGAGAGAGGAGAGAGGAGAGCUGAACAGGGAGCCACGUCUUUUCCUGGGAGGGCUGCUCUCUAAGUCGGGGCUGCAGGUUGGAGAUUUUUAAGGAAGUGGAAAUUGGCAAUUGGCUUUGUGUGUCUGUGGUUUUUGGGGAGGGGGAACUACAAAGAGGGGCUAACUCCCUCUCCCUGUUCUCUAAGGUUGGACCACAGGGAUGAGGUUGUGAGAUACAAAGAUAAAGGAGGGAUGGGGAACACUAUGAUGUGGUCUUUUUCUUUUCUGUUUUUGAUUUUUGCUAAUAUCUAUCCUUGGCUAAGGGGAGGGCGGAGUUCAGCGGCGGAAAUAAAGCGAGCAGUGGCUGGUGCGAACCGACUCCCGGCUCUAAGCCUUACUUGCGGUGGCCGGACUUGUCUGUGGCUGAAGCCGAGCCCGGGCUGUGACUCUCACGUCUGCACUGGAGGUGCGGAAACCUGGACUGGGGUUCGCCAGCCACAGACUGGCUACUCUGGUUCUUCUCUCCUCUUCCUUCUUCUAUUCUAACCAAACAAAACCAAACUCGAUGCUUGUGCCAGGCCUUGGCCAGUUCCGACGGUGAUGGAAACAUUUCUGGAUUUUAGCGUCUAAGGGAGCACUCAAGGGCUGUAAGGUUUGAUAUCACUGUCCCAACACUGCAGAGACCUUGAAGGUUCAUUGUGGGAUCUGUAGAACCCAUGGUUUGCGGUGACACUCAGAGGGGAUCUUUGGGAGAUUUAUAGAGCCGGUUUUUAGAGCUUUGUGGGUUCAGAGGCUGGCUGCAGAGUUUAUGAAAAGGGGCAGUGGGCUGGGGACACUGCUGGGGUUAUGGCUGUAGGGAGGUUCAUGUGUACUUGUUCCUUGGCAUGUGUCUGACUCUGUGUUGCUGCUGCAGUCCAGUGGGCAGGGGCACGGUUGUUUGGGACUGGGCUGCCCGAUAUCUGGCAUGGCCGGUGGUCCUGUUGUCGUUUAUGUGAUUGAUAGCAGGGACCUGAUCGCCGAGGUUGGCACAGGUUGGCAGGGAGAUGAGGAUGCAUUGUGGUUGUCUCCUCCUCCUCUCCUUCUUCCUCUUCCCCUUCCUCUUCUCCUUCCUGUUCUUGUUCUCCCUCAUCUUCCUCUUCCUUCUUCUCCCUCUUCUUCCUCUUCACUCUGCUCUCCUCUCUUCUUUUCCCCUUUCCUCUCCUCUCCCUUUCCUCAGGUCACAGCGGAGUGAAUCAGCUCGGUGGUGUCUUUGUCAACGGGCGGCCACUGCCGGACUCCACCCGGCAGAAGAUUGUAGAGCUAGCUCACAGCGGGGCCCGGCCGUGCGACAUUUCCCGAAUUCUGCAGGUGAUCCUCCCGGCGCCGCCCCACUCGCCGCCCCCGCGGCCCUCCACUCUCAACGCCCUCUCUUCAUUUCUUACUGUAAACGAUGCUAAUUAUGGACCCCCCACCCUCACCCACCCCAGUCCCCAGUCCCCACCCACUCCCCUGCCUUCCCACUUUCCCCUCUCCUUCCACCAUCCUUCCCUAUCUCUUUCAACCUGGGUCAGUUACAUAAGAUAACUCAUCUGCUUCAGAAAAAUAUUGUGUGCGGAUUUUUUUAAAUCUUUCUCUUUUUAUUUGGUAAAGACAUUCAUUGUGGGAACAGUUUAUGAACUGUAAUAAGCUGAGUUAUAUAAACCGGCAUAAUUUCAUUCUGCUCUCCCCAGCCCAUGUUUACCUCAGCUUUUGAGGUAUUUGUUUAUUCUUCAUGUUUAUGAAUAAUAUAUAUUGAUUUUAAAAGGCAAAUGCUAUUUACCCCUCCCUAACUCAUAUUUACUCAAUUGGGUAUUUUUUAAAGAAGGAGAAGAAGUAAAAAAUCAGUUUAUUUUUUACCUUUGCUCUUUAAAGCAUAACACCACUUUAAGCAAGGUCAGCACAAAAACAAACUAAUCUACUUCGUUUUGAUGCAUCUUCAGGCAAUGUUUAAGAAAACAGUUUUUUUUUUUAAAAAAAAGCUUUUAAAUUCGUUUUUUAGUUCAAAUUGUUUGAAAGUAUCAUAUUUGUAGUUUUUAGGGCUACAAAUGUAAUUUUAAGAAAAAAAGCUCUCUACAGUAAGUUCUCGUACCAUUGAAGGUAUAUUUUUGUGUUAUAGACCCAUGCAGAUGCAAAAGUCCAAGUGCUGGACAAUCAAAACGUAAGCUUGUCAUUGUUUAAUGCAUACUUAAACAAUUUUAUUUUUGUCUUGAAAUUAUUAAUAAUGUGGUUUUCUGUCCACUUCCCCUAUGCAGGUGUCCAACGGAUGUGUGAGUAAAAUUCUGGGCAGGUAUUACGAGACUGGCUCCAUCAGACCCAGGGCAAUCGGUGGUAGUAAACCGAGAGUAGCGACUCCAGAAGUUGUAAGCAAAAUAGCCCAGUAUAAGCGGGAGUGCCCGUCCAUCUUUGCUUGGGAAAUCCGAGACAGAUUACUGUCCGAGGGGGUCUGUACCAACGAUAACAUACCAAGUGUGUCAUCAAUAAACAGAGUUCUUCGCAACCUGGCUAGCGAAAAGCAACAGAUGGGCGCAGACGGCAUGUAUGAUAAACUAAGGAUGUUGAACGGGCAGACCGGAAGCUGGGGCACCCGCCCUGGUUGGUAUCCGGGGACUUCGGUGCCAGGGCAACCUACGCAAGAUGGCUGCCAGCAACAGGAAGGAGGGGGAGAGAAUACCAACUCCAUCAGUUCCAAUGGAGAAGAUUCAGAUGAGGCUCAAAUGCGACUUCAGCUGAAGCGGAAGCUGCAAAGAAAUAGAACAUCCUUUACCCAAGAGCAAAUUGAGGCCCUGGAGAAAGAGUUUGAGAGAACCCAUUAUCCAGAUGUGUUUGCCCGAGAAAGACUAGCAGCCAAAAUAGAUCUACCUGAAGCAAGAAUACAGGUAUGGUUUUCUAAUCGAAGGGCCAAAUGGAGAAGAGAAGAAAAACUGAGGAAUCAGAGAAGACAGGCCAGCAACACACCUAGUCAUAUUCCUAUCAGCAGUAGUUUCAGCACCAGUGUCUACCAACCAAUUCCACAACCCACCACACCUGUUUCCUCCUUCACAUCUGGCUCCAUGUUGGGCCGAACAGACACAGCCCUCACAAACACCUACAGCGCUCUGCCGCCUAUGCCCAGCUUCACCAUGGCAAAUAACCUGCCUAUGCAACCCCCAGUCCCCAGCCAGACCUCCUCAUACUCCUGCAUGCUGCCCACCAGCCCUUCGGUGAAUGGGCGGAGUUAUGAUACCUACACCCCCCCACAUAUGCAGACACACAUGAACAGUCAGCCAAUGGGCACCUCGGGCACCACUUCAACAGGACUCAUUUCCCCUGGUGUGUCAGUUCCAGUUCAAGUUCCUGGAAGUGAACCUGAUAUGUCUCAAUACUGGCCAAGAUUACAGU
rnacentral:sRNA from 1 species